UUCCUGGUGGUCCAGUAGCUAAAACUCUGCAUUUCCAAGGCAGGGGACCCGGGUUCGAUCCCUGAUCAGGAAA
rnacentral:tRNA from 1 species